GUCCAAUUAGUAUGGUGUCACCAAUAUAUGGAUCCAUGCGAUUGAUUAUCUGUGGAGUGUCCGGAUGGUCCAGGACCCUUCAGAUUAUAUUACGAUGGAGAACAGGAAAAUUAACCAAAACCUGGGCAAGACUGCGAAUGUGUGCUACUAUCCAUCCCAGUUCUGGAGGCCGGAGUUGGAAAUCAGUUUCACUGGGCACACAUGGAGGUGUUUGAAGGGCUGCCCGUGCCAGAGGCUCUCAGGGAGAAUCCCUUCCUUGUCUGUUCCAGCUCUACCUCCUCCUCUGCUGUCCCUUUCUCUUCUUCUUCUCAUGGUCUCUGGCAUCUGGGAGAGUCCACGUGGCCUGGGUUGGGCUAACAGAUACCAGCAGAAGUGAUGCGUACAACUUCCGGCAACCUAGGUGCACUUGUCUCGCCCUCCCUGGGAGCAGAUCCAUCCUCAAACCUGCAGACAAGGAUAAUGCUGUAGUGGGUACUGAGAAAAAAAAAAAAAAAAAAAAGAAGGAACCUAAAGGAAAUGUUGGAGCAGAAAUACAUUUCUAUCUUAUUCAAGCUGGUAUAUUUUGGACUUCUGUUGCUACAACAGUUUCAUCUUUAUCCUAACGAAUACCCAUACAUGUAUUAGUAAAAAUAUAAAGGUGUCCAGGGAAUAAUGUCAGACUGAGGAGAAUGGGGCUUGGGGGAAGACGGGUGGCAAGAGGAUGUGUAAGGAAUACACAGUUGUAUCUGCAAAAUGUUUUCACUCUUAAGUUCAGUGGCAAACUAACGGAUGUUCUUUAUAUUAUUCUCUAUGCUUUUUUCAAUAUCUGAUUUAUUUUGCUUUAAAAAUCUAUACUAAUAGUGGAUGAGAAAAUAAAUGUCAUAGAAGGGGUAAAUGAUAACAAAUUAUUUGGAUAAAUCACAGAUAAAAGGCUGUUUGACUGCACUGAGCUUUUUCUGGAACACUGCUUGCUUCAUAGGACGAUAAUAAGAAUGAAUCAUGUGUAUUAGAUUUCUUCCCAGGGUGAUCAAGGGUGAGAAUUUGCCCUGCGGGGAAUAAUGUGCUCUAAAUCCAUAUAUUUCCUAUACUUUUAGAUACAAAGACAAAGAAACAGGCAAAGAAACAUCUCUGACAUCAAGAUCAGGAAGUCACAGAGAGUACUUGAGUACACAUUCAGAAGUUUCAAGGAUUUUCUGUUCGUUUAUUAAACCUUAACAUUUGCUGUACAAGUUUUCAACAGGCCAAGGUUAAGUGAAGAAUGAAAAUAAUGUUUAACUCCAUUACAAAAGAGGAGGCUUUUGAUACAGACUUCAUAAUGUUCUUUGAGGAAGCAGGUAUAUGAGGUUUGUACAUUGAAUGGAUGUUCUAGAUUGAGCAAAAUACCCUCUAUGCACUCUCCUGCAGAGAGUGUGGGUGAAAUAGAAAUGUAUUUCUGGAUAGAAAGAGCAAUGUAUCACAUGCAUUCUGAAGAAGUCUAGCUGAGCAAAACCUUAAGAUUUCCUGUUGUUGCUGGACCGUAGACAUCAAUAUGACCGCUUAGCAUAAAGAUAAAGGUACCUCAGGGCCCAAGAAUAAAAAUUCCAUCGAGCACAACUCAGCGCUCUGAAAAUCUAGAUUUCCCUAAUCCCAGAGGGUGAGAGCCAAGGAGGAGCUCGUCCUGCCCAUUCCUGCCUUCCUCUAUCCCUGGCACUCACACCACAAGUUUGCUCUACUCUUAAACAAAAGCACCUGUGUUUUAAAAUUUUCAUUUUAAGUUCUGGGGUACAUGUGUAGGACAUGCAGGUUUGUUACAUAGGUAAACUUGUGCCAUGGUGGUUUGCUGCACCCAUCAACCCAUCACCUAGGUAUUAAACCGCACAUGCAUUAGCCAUUUGUCCUAAUGCUCUCCCUCCUGCCAACCCCCCACCCCCGACAGGUCCCAGUGUGUGUUGUUCCCCUCCCUGUGUCCAUGUGUUCUUACUGUUCAGCUCCCACUUAUGAGUGAGAACAUGCAGUGUUUGGUUUUCUGUUCCUGUGUUAGUUUGCUGAGGGUGAUGCCUUCCAGCUCCAUCCAUGUUCCUGCAAAGGACAUGAUCUCAUUCUUUUUUAUGGCUGCAUAGUAUUCCAUGGUAUAUAUGCAUCACAUUUUCUUUAUUCAUUCUAUCAUUGAUGGGCAUUUGGGUUGGUUCCAUGUCUUUGCUAUAGUGAAGAGUGCUACAAUGAACAUACACCUAUUUUUUUUUAACCCACAUUAUUUAUAGUCUUGUUUUCAGUAUUUUGGUAGGCAGUGCCUGGUCUGCUCCUCUCCUCCCUUCUCUGAGUUGCCCUUUUCCUCAAUUCUCUUUUACCAACUUUCCUUUUGCGAUCGUCUCUACUCUCCUUUUCUCUAUACUUCCCCUUCUUUUUCUCUUGGCCUCGACUUCUGAAUCCUGUGACAAUGGCGUGGGGGGUUUGGUGGAGAGAGGGGAACUAAAAGUGGAAAUGAGACACUGGGGAAUAAUCACAAGAAAGGAAACAAGACUUCCCAACUCUCCCCGGCUGUGAGCCCCACGACAUGGUUUCCACAUGAGCCUUCUCCCCACUUUUGGCUGCCUCCCUGACACGUUUCCAAGGAGACCUUUCCAAGUCAAGGCCGCAGCUCCCAAAGUAUUGAAGCACAAACCCAGCCCACUUCCAAUAAAUCAUCCUCUACAUACAGUUGUCUGGUUUGUAUCAGAAUGUCCUUGGGAUUCCUGUAAUGCUUGUCUCCAGAGUCACUUAGCCAGCAUUUUGGCUAGUUUUUGUUUUUGUUUUUUUUUUUCUGAUACUCUGGUUGCAUAAAGUUAAACAGGGUUUGCAAAAUGUAAUUUCAUUAUAUGAACAACAAGUUCUAUACACUGAUGAAUAACUUGGUUUUAUGUGGGCACUUAAUUCCCAGUCUAGUGCUAAGUCUUUAUCUUAAUUUUAACUUUUAAGGCAAACAAUGCAAGGCAUCAUCUUUUGAGUGGGAAAGAGGAAAAGCAUUUUAAUGAAUGAGUUCUUGGUUGGGCGCAGUGGCUCACUCCUGUAAUCCCAGCACUUUUGGAGACUGAGGCAGGAGGAUCGCUUGAGCUCGGGAGUUCAAGACCAGCCUGGGAAACAUGGUGAAACCCCGCCUCUACACAAAAAUUAAAAAAUUAGCCGGGGAGGGGGAUUGAUUGUGUGCAUUUGCAGCUGAGCUGCAGUGAGUCCCAGCUACUCGGGAGGCUGAGGGGGGAAGAUUGUUUGAGCCUAGGAGGGUGAGGCUGCAGUGACUUAUGAUCCUGCCACUGCACUCCAGCCUGGGCAAUAGAGUGAGACUCUCCAAAAAAAGAAAAAUAGAAUGAAUAAUGAAUGAGUUCUUGAAAGGAGAGAUGUAGCUGGGCACAGUGGCUCACAUGCUUGUAAUCCCAGCACUUUGGGAGGAUAAAGCAUGUGCAUCACCUGAGGUCAGGCAUGGUGGCGGGUGCCUGUAAUCCCAGCUACUUGGGAGGCUGAGGCAGGAGAAUUGCUUGAACCCAGGAGGCUGAGGUUGCAGUGAGCCGAGAUCACACCACUGCACUCCGGCCUGGGUUACAAGAGUGAAACUCUGCCAAAAAGAAAGAAAGAAAGAGAGAGACAGAGACAGAGAGAGAGAGAAAAGAAGGAAGGAAGGAAGGAAGGAAGGAAGGAAGGAAGGUAGGAAGGAAGGGAGAGAGAGAGAGAAAGAAAGAAAGGAGAGAUGUGAAAAAUAUGUUUAAGAAUUUCUCAUACAUUCAUGUCUGAAAGGAAUCAUUUUAUUCAUCCCUCUUUCAUGGAUGAA
rnacentral:lncRNA from 1 species